GAAACAACCCAGACCGCCAGCUAAGGUCCCAAAGUCAUGGUUAAGUGGGAAACGAUGUGGGAAGGCCCAGACAGCCAGGAUGUUGGCUUAGAAGCAGCCAUCAUUUAAAGAAAGCGUAAUAGCUCACUGGUCGAGUCGGCCUGCGCGGAAGAUGUAACGGGGCUAAACCAUGCACCGAAGCUGCGGCAGCGAACGUAUCACCCAAGACAACUUUACGGAGUUGACGAUUGACGGAGCGAAGCGACGUCAAAGCGUUCAUUAAAGUCGAGUUGGCUUAGGGAUACGUUCGUUGGGUAGGGGAGCGUUCUGUAAGCCUGUGAAGGUGGCCUGUGAGGGUUGCUGGAGGUAUCAGAAGUGCGAAUGCUGACAUAAGUAACGAUAAUGCGGGUGAAAAACCCGCACGCCGGAAGACCAAGGGUUCCUGUCCAACGUUAAUCGGGGCAGGGUGAGUCGACCCCUAAGGCGAGGCCGAAAGGCGUAGUCGAUGGGAAACAGGUUAAUAUUCCUGUACUUGGUGUUACUGCGAAGGGGGGACGGAGAAGGCUAUGUUAGCCGGGCGACGGUUGUCCCGGUUUAAGCAUGUAGGCGGAGGUUCCAGGUAAAUCCGGUACCUUAUUAACGCUGAGGUGUGAUGACGAGGCACUACGGUGCUGAAG
rnacentral:rRNA from 1 species